GGCCGUGUGGCGAAAUGGCAUCGCGUCUGACUACGAUUGGUUGUAACUCAUCCCAUUCUUUGAAAUCAGGAGAUUGUAGGUUCGAGACCUACCUCGGUCA